rnacentral:tRNA from 1 species
GGGCCUGUAUUACAGUGGUAGUAUAGGGCAUUCGCAUUGCUCAGACGCGAGUCCGAUUCUCGCCAGGUCCA